rnacentral:rRNA from 1 species
ACGAACGCUGGCGGCGUGCUUAACACAUGCAAGUCGAACGGAAAGGCCCCUUUGGGGGUACUCGAGUGGCGAACGGGUGAGUAACACGUGAGUAACCUGCCCUUGACUUCGGGAUAACUUCAGGAAACUGGGGCUAAUACCGGAUAGGAAUCCUUGCUGCAUGGUGGGGGUUGGAAAGCUUCGGCGGUUUUGGAUGGACUCGCGGCUUAUCAGCUUGUUGGUGGGGUAGUGGCUUACCAAGGCUUUGACGGGUAGCCGGCCUGAGAGGGCGACCGGCCACAUUGGGACUGAGAUACGGCACAGACUCCUACGGGAGGCAGCAGUGGGGAAUAUUGCACAAUGGGCGGAAGCCUGAUGCAGCAACGCCGCGGGCGGGAUGACGGCCUUCGGGUUGUAAACCGCUUUCAGCAGGGGCGAAGCUUGUGGUGACGGUACCUGCAGAAGAAGCACCGGCUAACUACGUG